CGGUUGAUCCUGCCGGACCCCACCGCUAUCGGGGUAGGACUUAGACAUGCGAGUCGUGUGUCCCUCAAGCUAUGGUUGAGGACACGGCGGACGGCUCAGUAACACGUAGCUAACCUGCCCUCGGGACGGGGAUAACCCCGGGAAACUGGGGCUAAUCCCCGAUAGGUGAGAAAGCCUGGAAUGGUUUCUCACCUAAAGGAUAUUGGAACCAUGCUUCCAAUAUCGCCCGAGGAUGGGGCUGCGUCCGAUCAGGUAGUUGGUGAGGUAACGGCUCACCAAGCCUUUAACCGGUACGGGCCGCGAGAGCGGGAGCCCGGAGAUGGGUACUGAGACAAGGACCCAGGCCCUACGGGGCGCAGCAGUCGCGAAAACUCCGCAAUGCGCGCAAGCGCGACGGGGCUACCCCGAGUGCCGUCCGCUGAGGACGGCUUUUCUCCGGUGUAAUGAGCCGAAGGAAUAAGGGGAGGGCAAGACUGGUGUCAGCCGCCGCGGUAAUACCAGCUCCCCGAGUGGUGGGGAUGUUUAUUUGGCCUAAAGCGUCCGUAGCCGGCUCUGCAAGUCCCCCGUUAAAUCCAACGAUCUAAUCGUUGGGCUGCGGGGGAUACUGCAGGGCUAGGGGGCGGGAGAAGUCGACGGUACUCCUGGGGUAGGGGUGAAAUCCUAUAAUCCCAGGAGGACCACCAGUGGCGAAGGCUGUCGGCUAGAACGCGCCCGACGGUGAGGGACGAAAGCGUGGGGAGCGAUCCGGAUUAGAUACCCGGGUAGUCCACGCUGUAAACGAUGCAGGCUAGGUGUUAGCGUGACUACGGGUCACGCUAGUGCCGCAGGGAAGCCGUUAAGCCUGCCGCCUGGGAAGUACGGUCGCAAGACUGAAACUUAAAGGAAUUGGCGGGGGAGCAC
rnacentral:rRNA from 1 species